AUUGCACGCCGGCGGCAGGCCUAACACCUGCAAGUCGAACGAGAGGCGGACGGGUGAGUAAUGUCUGGGAAACUGCCUGAUGGCGGGGGAUAACUAGUAGAAAGGGAAGCUCAUACCGCAUACCAUCGGCUGUGCCCAGAGGGGCUUAGCUAGUAGGUGGGGUAACGGCACACCGAGGCGACGAUCCCUAGCUGGUCUGAACGGCGGACCAGCCACACUGGAAGUGAGACACGGUCCAGACUCAUACGACAGGAAGCAGUGGGGAAUAUUGCACAAUGUGCUGAAGCCUGAUGCAGCCAUGCCGCGUGUAUGAAGAAGGCCUGCGGGUUGUAAAGUACGUUCAGCGGGGAGGCUUUACUCGCAGAAGAAGCUCCGGCUAACGCCGUGCCAGCAGCCGCGGUAAUUC
rnacentral:rRNA from 1 species